rnacentral:rRNA from 1 species
UUUUAUGUACAUUCCUGCAACAUAGCAUUAAUGCAUCGGAUCCCAUUAGAACUCCACAGUUAAGUGCACUUGGGUUAGAGUAGUAUUGGGAUGGGUGACCAACUGGGAAGUCCUACUAUUUUACAU